rnacentral:lncRNA from 1 species
GAUUUAUUUUUUUAUUUUCUAGGAUAGCAUGUAGGCUUCUCAUCAACUUCCCCAAGAUUUAUUUUCAAAUAAACUAAAACAUUCCUGAUGGAAACCCAAUUUUGAUGAACAAAAAUUUUCCAAAGUGACUUGAAAACACCAGCAAAAGAGGUUGUACAACAUCCAGACUCUUGGACUCAAAACAUGUUGGUCUCUCCAAUGCCAGCAGAUGAAAGGAUAUUCAGUUCAUGCUCUGAGCAGCAUUUUCAUUUCCUCUGGGUCUUGUGGAGCUCCUGCUAUUGACCAACUCAUUCUGCAGCCAUGCCCCCACAUCUUUUGGCAUCCCAGACACCUACAGGAAUCUCCAUGGCUGGCCAAGAGGAGGAGGAGGGAGCGCAGGGUGCCCCAGCAGCUGUGGGGUGCCUCUGACCUCUCUGGCAGCCCACGCUGCAGAACCCAACUGUCCCCAUGGUGCUGUCAUGUCAAAAUGAGAGGGAAUCAUCUGGAACUGCUCCUGCAGCCGUGUUACCCUGGAAAAAGCCAACAACAAGCUUCUGCUGGGUUCAACACAAUGGUGCUGAGCCUUGAGAUCAUGAGUGAAAUGGCAUUAGCAUUUCCAUGAGAUGUUUUCAGAACUUUCACUUUAAUAAAACAACAUCAUCCCCAGAGCA